rnacentral:rRNA from 1 species
AGAACGAACGCUGGCGGCAGGCUUAACACAUGCAAGUCGAACGCUCGUCUUCGGACGGGAGUGGCAGACGGGUGAGUAACGCGUGGGAACGUACCCUUCGGUUCGGAAUAACCCAGGGAAACUUGGGCUAGUACCGGAUGCGCCCUCGGGCUUUGGCUUGGGGGGAAAGAUUUAUCGCCGAAGGACCGGCCCGCGUCGGAUUAGCUGGUUGGUGGGGUAACGGCCUACCAAGGCGACGAUCCGUAGCUGGUCUGAGAGGAUGAUCAGCCACACUGGGACUGAGACACGGCCCAGACUCCUACGGGAGGCAGCAGUGGGGAAUAUUGGACAAUGGGCGCAAGCCUGAUCCAGCCAUGCCGCGUGAGUGAAGAAGGCCUUAGGGUUGUAAAGGCUUCGUUUCGAGGCGGGACAAGUAAGUGGACGGUACCCGACGAA